rnacentral:rRNA from 1 species
AGAGUUUGAUCCUGGCUCAGGACGAACGCUGGCGGCGCGCCUAACACAUGCAAGUCGAACGAGCGAGAGAGAGCUUGCUUUCUCGAGCGAGUGGCGAACGGGUGAGUAACGCGUGAGGAACCUGCCUCAAAGAGGGGGACAACAGUUGGAAACAACUGCUAAUACCGCAUAAGCCCACGACCCGGCAUCGGGUUGAGGGAAAAGGAGCAAUCCGCUUUGAGAUGGCCUCGCGUCCGAUUAGCUGGUUGGUGAGGUAACGGCCCACCAAGGCGACGAUCGGUAGCCGGACUGAGAGGUUGAACGGCCACAUUGGGACUGAGACACGGCCCAAACUCCUACGGGAGGCAGCAGUAGGGAAUCUUCCACAAUGGACGAAAGUCUGAUGGAGCAACGCCGCGUGAGUGAAGAAGGGUUUCGGCUCGUAAAGCUCUGUUGGUAGUGAAGAAAGAUAGAGGUAGUAACUGGCCUUUAUUUGACGGUAAUUACUUAGAAAGUCACGGCUAACUACGUGCCAGCAGCCGCGGUAAUACGUAGGUGGCAAGCGUUGUCCGGAUUUAUUGGGCGUAAAGCGAGUGCAGGCGGUUCAAUAAGUCUGAUGUGAAAGCCUUCGGCUCAACCGGAGAAUUGCAUCAGAAACUGUUGAACUUGAGUGCAGAAGAGGAGAGUGGAACUCCAUGUGUAGCGGUGGAAUGCGUAGAUAUAUGGAAGAACACCAGUGGCGAAGGCGGCUCUCUGGUCUGCAACUGACGCUGAGGCUCGAAAGCAUGGGUAGCGAACAGGAUUAGAUACCCUGGUAGUCCAUGCCGUAAACGAUGAGUGCUAAGUGUUGGGAGGUUUCCGCCUCUCAGUGCUGCAGCUAACGCAUUAAGCACUCCGCCUGGGGAGUACGACCGCAAGGUUGAAACUCAAAGGAAUUGACGGGGGCCCGCACAAGCGGUGGAGCAUGUGGUUUAAUUCGAAGCAACGCGAAGAACCUUACCAGGUCUUGACAUCCAGUGCAAACCUAAGAGAUUAGGUGUUCCCUUCGGGGACGCUGAGACAGGUGGUGCAUGGCUGUCGUCAGCUCGUGUCGUGAGAUGUUGGGUUAAGUCCCGCAACGAGCGCAACCCUUGUCAUUAGUUGCCAUCAUUAAGUUGGGCACUCUAAUGAGACUGCCGGUGACAAACCGGAGGAAGGUGGGGAUGACGUCAAGUCAUCAUGCCCCUUAUGACCUGGGCUACACACGUGCUACAAUGGACGGUACAACGAGAAGCGAACCUGCGAAGGCAAGCGGAUCUCUUAAAGCCGUUCUCAGUUCGGACUGUAGGCUGCAACUCGCCUACACGAAGCUGGAAUCGCUAGUAAUCGCGGAUCAGCACGCCGCGGUGAAUACGUUCCCGGGCCUUGCACACACCGCCCGU